rnacentral:rRNA from 1 species
CCUACGGGCGGCAGCAGUCGAGAAUCAUUCACAAUGGGGGAAACCCUGAUGGUGCGACGCCGCGUGGGGGAAUGAAGGUCUUCGGAUUGUAAACUUCUGUUAUGUGGGAGCAAAUUAAAAAGAUAGUACCACAAGAGGAAGAGACGGCGAAAUCUGUGCCAGCAGCCGCGGUACUACAGAGGUCUCAAGCGUUGUUCGGAAUCACUGGGCGUAAAGCGUGCGUAGGCUGUUUCGUAAGUCGUGUGUGAAAGGCGCGGGCUCAACCCGCGGACGGCACAUGAUACUGGGAGACUUGAGUAAUGGAGGGGGAGCCGGAAUUCGCGGUGUAGCGGUGAAAUGCGUAGAUAGCGAGAGGAACACUCGUGGCGAAGGCGGGUUCCUAGACAUUAACUGACGCUGAGGCACGAAGGCCAGGGGAGCGAAAGGGAUUAGAUACCCUGGUAGUC